ensembl:lncRNA uncharacterized LOC114451720
CUUAUUCUGUGAUGGAUACAUUUGUGUUUUUCCCCACGAUUGUCACUUUGGUGCUAAUGACUCUUCGUGCGUUUAGGCAAACUAUUUUUAUAUCUUGGUCACAUCUACGCACAGUUUUGUGGCCAGACUUAUCAGAAGCUCUGUUAACAUCCGCAAACUGUGCGACACGUCGACUUGAUGCGCUCAGCUGUGUUAAUCAGACUCUUCCUCAUCGUGACACACUGCGCAGCGAGAGAGGAACUGCGCCAACAGCUGAUGUGUUUCUCCUCUGGUCGCUUUUAGAUGCUGUCUGAGUGUUUAAGGUAAAAAUCAAUCCAACACGGUGGUCCGUUUGUUAACAUCCAGACCACUUGAAAUCAGAUGAUUACAAAGACAACGAGGAGGACGCAUAAAGAAGAUGGACCCCGAAAGCACCUUUGCCAGGGUGGAGAGGACUUGGUGGACAGUUUGGUACUACAUAACAGGAGCUGUGAACAGAUUCCUCAGGCCAUCACCUGCUGACACCGAAGACAUCGAUCCAAACUCCUUCCACGAAUCUACAGAACACAGAGACCCUCCUGACCGUAGCCAUGAGGAGGAGGAUGACUCGGUUGGACGUGUACUCGAUGAGGAGCAGUCUUUUGCAAAAGCCUCUGAGCACGGUUCAUUUUGUUCUGUUGUGGCCUCAAACAUUUGCACCGCAGAUAUACAUUUAAGACCCGACAACAAAAGCACGGAGUGCAAAAAACAGCUGAGCGGAGGCACUGAGGAUGGUGAGGGCACGAGAGAGGAACGGCUCGACCUAACAGGAAAUGAUGACACAGGGCCUCCGGCCGCUGAAGGUGUUGCUGAGAUCAUAACCUUGUACACUUGCAGACAGGAUGAGAAGAAUGAAGGACGAGCUGAACAUAAAUCAGAUGACGUAGAGAAAAGUGAAGGAAACACUGGUACUGAGGAGGAGGAGGUGAAGGUGGUGCCUACAGUGAUGCUGGAUAAUGGUCAAAAAGUGGAUGAAACAAUAACUGAGGAACAAGAGGAUAUAAUGCUCCAUGAAGAUGAGCAGUGUUUGGAAGAAGAAGGUAUUGACAUCAUAGAAUUGAGGCCAGAAGAGGAGGAAAGCAUACACAGAGGGGAGACGGGGGCUCAGAUGGAUGAUGAAGUUGCAGUGGUGACAGCGGUAGACACAGAUGUUGUGUUACAUGAAAGUGAGGUAACAGAAGAAGAUGUAAAGCAGCCGUCUGUCUGUGAAGAGUUGCUGGUUAUGUCAGAGGAUGAGUCAGCUGUAACUGGACAGGAGCGUCCGAUGGCUCGUUGUAGUGAAAUUGAGGAUGAAGGUGAGCAAGAGGAAGAAAAGAUCAGUGAUGCUGCAAACAACCAACAGACAGAUGAGGUGCCUGAACAGGGAAAGGACACGACUACAGAAAAACACAUGUUAAUGGAAUGUGUUCCAUGCAGCGAAGAAGGUGUGCAGAAUGCAGAACAAGAUGAUGUUGCGGUCACAGAAAUGCAAACCAAAACAAGAGACACCGCAGUUACAGUAUCACCCGAGACUGGACAGGAAAUCAGAGAGUUUAAAAAUAUUUCCCCUGGGACAAGUGAAAGCCCGGUUGUUAUGCUGCAGGAGGUAAAUACUCCAACAUGUGAGGAAACACAAGAGGGAGUUCCUGAAUACAACAAUGAGCUCAGGCCAGAUGAAAACCUGACACAAAAGAUCCUGGAAGUAGAAGACUGCGAGGAAAUCCAGACUUUUCAAUUACCAGAAGAGGAGGGGGAGAGCCUACAAAAGGGUGGCUCUUUGCUGGUGAGGGAGCCUAUGGAGGAGAACCAAGAAAGCAUAACAGGAGAUAUCAGUUGGUCAGUUGGAACAGCCAGUCAAGAAUCGGGACGCUUGUGUGAGGAAGAAGAAGGAAAGUUACAGGAAAGCUCAAUGAAGACAGAAUUUCAGACAACAGAAGAGCUGCAGGGUGAGACUGAAGAGCUGUUGGUCCACUUUGGAACAGAUGAAGUCUUAUAUGACUCCAAAGAUGCUGCUGAAGAGGUUUGUGACAUGAAAGGAGACACAGCAGUGGAGGAAGAAGUCAGAGACCCUAAUGAGAAAUUCCAGAAAAUGCCAGAAAAUAGCUUCUUUGAUGAAUCAGGACAAGCUUUGGCUACAGAGCAAAACAACAUCAGGACUCUUUUUAAAGGAGACAUAACUGACUCUGGGUUCUUGAGACACUCAGGUGAGACUGAGCGUGAAUUACUUGAGGAAAUGCAAGAGGAAAGGGAUCAUGUAGGUGAAAUGCAGAAGAAAAACCAGCAGGUAGUAGUUUCAGAAGUAUCUCUACACUUGGAGAGACAAGAUAAUCAAUCACCAGGCAUGACAGUUGAGAUGAGUGAAAAGGAGGAGAUGAUAAAAGAUGCUGAAACAGCUGAUGAAUCCAACACAAGCCAGUCCAUUAUAGAAGAACAUGUUACAGAGACAGAAGCAAGCCCAAGACACCAGGAUGUGAUUGAUGAAGAACUCCUGGACCUGUGGAUAGAGACGGCUAUGUCAGAGGACACUGAUAACAUCAGACAACAAGAAGGGCCUGAGCAAGAACAACAAAUGGAUACAGAAGCAGACCUAUCACCGGAUAAAGUAUCACCUAAGAAGGAGAUGGAGCAGCUGAUGGAGUCACAUUCAGGUGAAUCUGCAUUCAUAAGUGACACAGAAAUAUCUUCAUCAACUGUAGAGUCUGAGAGUUUGGACCAGUCUUUAGGUGAAUGGGGUACUCAAAACUUGAAUGAAGCUCAGCUACAGAAGCCAACUAGCUCCCUUCAAGGCAUAGAUGACAUGUUACUGGUCUCUGCACCACAAUCUAACUCUGAAUCUCACGUUGAUCUGAUGGAGGGAAGAGCAACGACAGAGCAGUACCCUGAUUCAGGAGUGUCAUCACCACAGAUGACACAUCUAAAUGAGGAAUCUGAUAAAUCACAAGGAAGCACAGAAGAAACUGGAUCACAGAGGGACAUGGAGGUGACAGACAUGGCAGGUGUGUCAGAGUGGAAGGACACUGAACAAGCAGAGGUGACCAAAAUGAGAUCUCCUUUCCAAGUUGAGGAAAAAGAAGUGAAUGAUGAGCCUCUGGUGUCAGACUCACCAGAUGAAAUCACACACACUGAGUUCAUAAGUGACUCGGUAGAGGAAGAAAUCAUACUAAACGAAGCCACUUCACAAAGCAAGGAGAUGUUGGAGGGGCCACAGCCAGGAUGGCUAGGAAAAAUGUCUCAGGAUCUGAACGAGGUGGAUGCCCCUUUGCUGGAUUUUACUGUGCAAAAGUCACGGAUUGCAGUCAAAAACCCUCUUAUAAGGCCACCAAAAGAUCCCCGCUCUUUGCUGAACAUGCCCUCUGCAGAUCCCACUCCCUCUCCACGUGUGCCAAUCAAAGCUGCUGCAGGUGUGCCCUUAGGAGGCUUGGGUAUAGGCAUAAAACUGCCUGGGAUUGGUGCAGGUUUUCCUGUUUUAAAAAAGACAAAAGUGGAGAAAGAUGAUAACAAACAGGAGUUAAUCUCACAGGAAACUGAGAAAAAGCCACAAGAGACCAGUGAAGCUCCCCAACAAGAUGAGGUGCAGCACAAACCAAAAUGGAUGCCACCAAGACAUCCAGGGUUUGGAAAUCCACUCAUGUCUGAGCUGAAGACCAAACUGAAGAAGACCACAAAAGAAUAAUGGAACUAAUUGUGCUUUAUGUGUGAAUGUAUGGAUAUAAUGGAAAGAAACAGAUGUAUUCCUUUGGAGAAAAUGUCCCCCAUUUCAGCUGUCCAAUGUUUAAUUUUUAUAAUAAAGCAUAAAUGAAAAAAGUGUUUUCUUUCA